rnacentral:misc_RNA from 1 species
AUGCGAUAAGUAGUGUGAAUUGCAGAAUUCCGUGAAUCAUCGAAUCUUUGAACGCACAUUGCGCCUUCCGGUAUUCCGGGAGGCAUGCCUGUUCGAGCGUCAUUAAAAACCACUCAAGCGAAUUUUGCUUGGUCUUGGAAGACGAGUGCCCAUGGUUCUCCCUUCUGAAAUUCAUUGGCGGAAUAUCUCGUUGGUCCCUGCGUAGUAAGUCUCUUUCGCUUGGACUCAUGAGGUUUUCUUGCCCUCAAUCCCCACAUUCUUUUGGUUGACCUCGGAUCAGGUAGGGAUACCCGCUGAACUUAA